AACGAACGCUGGCGGCAGGCUUAACACAUGCAAGUCGAGCGCCCCGCAAGGGGAGCGGCAGACGGGUGAGUAACGCGUGGGAAUCUACCCAUCUCUACGGAAUAACGCAUGGAAACGUGUGCUAAUACCGUAUACGUCCUUCGGGAGAAAGAUUUAUCGGAGAUGGAUGAGCCCGCGUUGGAUUAGCUAGUUGGUGGGGUAAAGGCCUACCAAGGCGACGAUCCAUAGCUGGUCUGAGAGGAUGAUCAGACACACUGGGACUGAGACACGGCCCAGACUGCUACGGGAGGGAGCAGUGGGGAAUAUUGGACAAUGGGGGGCAGGCUGAUCCAGCCAUGCCGCGGGAGUGAUGAAGGCCCUAGGGUUGUAAAGCUCUUUCACCGGUGAAGAUAAUGACGGUAACCGGAGAAGAAGCCCCGGCUAACUUCGUGCCAGCCGCCGCGGUAAAAC
rnacentral:rRNA from 1 species